rnacentral:rRNA from 1 species
AGCGGACAGAUGGGAGCUUGCUCCCUGAUGUUAGCGGCGGACGGGUGAGUAACACGUGGGUAACCUGCCUGUAAGACUGGGAUAACUCCGGGAAACCGGGGCUAAUACCGGAUGGUUGUUUGAACCGCAUGGUUCAAACAUAAAAGGUGGCUUCGGCUACCACUUACAGAUGGACCCGCGGCGCAUUAGCUAGUUGGUGAGGUAACGGCUCACCAAGGCAACGAUGCGUAGCCGACCUGAGAGGGUGAUCGGCCACACUGGGACUGAGACACGGCCCAGACUCCUACGGGAGGCAGCAGUAGGGAAUCUUCCGCAAUGGACGAAAGUCUGACGGAGCAACGCCGCGUGAGUGAUGAAGGUUUUCGGAUCGUAAAGCUCUGUUGUUAGGGAAGAACAAGUACCGUUCGAAUAGGGCGGUACCUUGACGGUACCUAACCAGAAAGCCACGGCUAACUACGUGCCAGCAGCCGCGGUAAUACGUAGGUGGCAAGCGUUGUCCGGAAUUAUUGGGCGUAAAGGGCUCGCAGGCGGUUUCUUAAGUCUGAUGUGAAAGCCCCCGGCUCAACCGGGGAGGGUCAUUGGAAACUGGGGAACUUGAGUGCAGAAGAGGAGAGUGGAAUUCCACGUGUAGCGGUGAAAUGCGUAGAGAUGUGG